rnacentral:rRNA from 1 species
UGGGGAAUCUUAGACAAUGGGGGAAACCCUGAUCUAGCCAUGCCGCGUGAUCGAUGAAGGCCUUAGGGUUGUAAAGAUCUUUCAGGUGGGAAGAUAAUGACUGUACCACCAGAAGAAGCCCCGGCUAACUCCGUGCCAGCAGCCGCGGUAAUACGGAGGGGGCUAGCGUUAUUCGGAAUUACUGGGCGUAAAGCGCACGUAGGCGGACCAGAAAGUCAGAGGUGAAAGCCCGGGGCUCAACCCCGGAACUGCCUUUGAAACUCCUGGUCUUGAGGUCGAGAGAGGUGAGUGGAAUUCCGAGUGUAGAGGUGAAAUUCGUAGAUAUUCGGAGGAACACCAGUGGCGAAGGCGGCUCACUGGCUCGAUACUGACGCUGAGGUGCGAA